rnacentral:rRNA from 1 species
GGGUUAGUAGGUUGGUCAUGCCUCUGGUAUGUACUGGUCUCACUGAUUCCUCCUUCCUGAUGAACCUUAAUGCCAUUAAUUUGGUGUUUUGGGGAAUUUGGACUGUUACUUUGAAAAAAUUAGAGUGUUUAAAGCAAGCUAACGCUUGAAUACAUUAGCAUGGAAUAAUGAAAUAGGACGUUCGAUCCUAUUGCGUUGGCCUUCAGGAUCGGAGUA